CAUGGAUGAACAGAUUUAUGGAUGGCUGGGUGGAUGACGAUCUUAGAAGGGGUUCCAGGGCUAGCUGGCUUUCUGUUUCUCCCACUCAAGCACCCAAGCCCUGACCCACAAAGUAAAGGAACAGGCGAAACUUCUCGCCAAAUAGCUUCAAGGCAGAAACUACGCAGCUGGCUUGGGAAUUCCGUACAACGCGAACGCGCAUGCACAGGCAGGACUGAGCGUGUCCAUCUUCGCAUUACUCCCGGAGAUGACUCUCGGAAACGGUCCGAGGACUAACGUCUUUCUCUUCCUCGCCCUCAUUCCUCCCAGUAACGUCCGCUACAAAAGAAACCGUGCACAAAAUAAACUCGGGCGGCGGGUAGAAAGGAGACAGCCGAAUUCCCUACACCCAUGAUCAACACGCCCACACCUCCCAUCAGGGCUGUGAACCCCUGAUAUCUGAGAGGUGUCUCAGUCAAUUUAGAAAGUUUAUUUUGCCAACGUUAAGGACCCGCCCAUGACAGCCUCAGGAGGUCCUGACGACACGUGCCCAAGGUGGUCAGGGCACAGCCUGCUUCCAUACAUUUUAGUGAGACAUGAAACAUCAAUCAUUUUAUGUGCUAGACCUCCAGAGAGAGAAAAUGAGACACAUAAGGUGGAAAUUACUCUGUGGUGACACACUGUGGAGUCCUGCCCACAACCCGGAUACUUGGACCCACUCCACUGAAACCUUAGGCCACAGCUAAGUUCCUUCCUUCAAAAAAUAAAUCUAAGAAAGAGGAAAAACAGGAAUGACCUCCUUUCAGGCACUCUGUUGGUUUUAUGGCGCCUCUUCUUGCGAAUGUUUGUGUAAAAUUGACAUACUGUGGUCCUUUUCUGCACAAUUACGGCAAGGAAAAUUCAGAUCGCAAAGGUCCACCUCGGACGUUACUGGGAGGAAUGAGGGCGAGGAAGAGAAAGACGUUAGUCCUCGGACCGUUUCCGAGAGUCAUCUCCGGGAGUAAUGCGAAGAUGGACACGCUCAGUCCUGCCUGUGCAUGCGCGUUCGCGUUGUACGGAAUUCCCAAGCCAGCUGCGUAGUUUCUGCCUUGAAGCUAUUUGGCGAGAAGUUUCGCCUGUUCCUUUACUUUGUGGGUCAGGGCUUGGGUGCUUGAGUGGGAGAAACAGAAAGCCAGCUAGCCCUGGAACCCCUUCUAAGAUCGUCAUCCACCCAGCCAUCCAUAAAUCUGUUCAUCCAUGAAACAAAUAAUCAUUGAGCACCCCUUAUAUGCCAGACACACGUAAGGAUGCAAGGGCCGCGUUCUCAUUCUAGUGGGUGGGGACAGAGAGUAAACAAAUUAUCUACUUAAUUUCAGAUAGUGGUAAGUGAUAGAAAAUAAAACGGGGUGAUAUUGUCAGAGGCGUUUGAACCAGAGCGACUCCAUUCCGAGUGAGGGCUAGGAAAAUGAAGCUGAGGCUUGCUGGGCUGCAUUCCCAGAAAGUUAGGUAUUCCCAGCCUCUAGAUGUUUACGGUUAAGGGAACAAAUUAAUAACGUUUACUAAACAGACCCAGACUUGGGAGUGUCCAGAUAUUCCGAUAUCUGGAGAAGAAAGGCAUUCCUAAUUUUGCCUUAAAGAUAACAACACUGAUUCUUGCAAAACAUAGUAAUUAAGAAAAUUAAUCCUCUAUCACAAACCCUUGUAGCAGAGCACAUCUCCUCAUAUAACAAGCAUUGUACCUAGGGUGGACGCAUUCCUCCUCUUACUUUUGGGAACGUCCUACUCUGUCUAUGGAGUAGCUGCCCUUUCACCACUGUGCUUU
rnacentral:lncRNA from 1 species